CCCCACAGUAUGAGUAACUGUAUUAAAGGCCACAGCAUUAAGAAGCUUGAGAAGCUUUAUCUCAUUGGAAUGGUGAGUGGAAAGGUGAUCAACCAACAUGUUGCAUGUCACUGGGUAAAAUUACAAUUUUGCCCUUAGUCGAAAGGGAUUUAACUUCACAUAUAAAUCAGAUGACUUUCAAACUGAAAUCAGAGAGACUGAAAAUUUAUUGUGAGAGUCUGAAUCUUGAUCUGGGCGGGUGAUGCAGUCAACAAGGUGUUUGCUAUGUGAACUCGAAUACCCCAGUUCAGAUGCCCAGAGCACACGGAAAAUGGUGGUGUGGGACCUGUGCCUGCAUCCUCGUGAUGAAGAGGCAGACAGGGGCAUCUCUGAGACUGCUGAUCAGCUAGUCUAGUCAAAUUAGUAAGCUCCAGGCUCAGUGAGAGACCCUCUCUCCAAACUAAGGUGGCUAGUGAUCAAGGAAGGGAUCUAAUGUGAGUGUCUAACCUCUGUAGACUCGGACAGAGGUGAGCAUGAGCUCACAUACACACGAAAUUGUGAAUCUUGACAUGUUAGAAAGUGGGAUGUAUUCCUAUCUGCAAAGGUCAAGUGAUUAGGAAGCCAUGAUAGAGCAUUUUUGUUUUGACAAUUCAUCUUGGGAAGAUACUGUAGGUCAUCCAAUCACUUACAGAUUUGAUAGAUUUUCACAGAUACAAGUCUUCACUUCUGUUUUGCUAAAGAAUCAGACUGGAUUCCGGGAUUACUUAGGCUUUCAUGGGGCUAAGCAUGCUUUAUGCCUUUAAGGAAGCUUGGCCCAACUCUGCCAGCUCACCAAUGGGAAAGGUUGGCAAAAUUCCAAAGGCGAUUUGCAUUAUAUCUGUUAUGUCACAGGGUGGAGUGUGUUUGGGUGGGUGAAAGGGGAAGCCUAUAAUUUUAUAGCUAUUAGUAGAACAUUUCUGCUAAGCCUCUUUUUAUUCUAAAAAUUGGAAAGAAUCUCAGCACUCGGGACAAUUCUAGGCUGCCCCGCCACCAGAAUAGAAUGUAUCCAGACGCAGGGUACUAAUUCUUGACCAUACAAGUCACAGAGUAUAAAUAUUGAGUCCCAAAUAUUAACACCUUUGUCCCAUUUUUCUUUCUUUCUUUUUUAAAGAUCAGCAUUGUCUUUUGUGAAGAAUUUUCUUUAUAAAUAAAGAGGUAGGGUUUUGAACUUAAUUCUAACUACUUAGGAAAGAUGGUGCCACUGCUGUCUUGCUUAGAAAGAUGGAGAACGGUCAAGCUCACUACAGAGCCAUGACUUGCUUCCGUAUUGAUAGCCAUCCUGUGUGCCAGAUGUACACAUGUUCUUCUAGCCUCUUGACUAGAACGCUAGACGAUUGCCCUGUAAAUAAAUCAGAGCAACAGCCACGUCAUGCUUUCUCGCUGUCUGGGGUCACCCUCAUGUGACGCUUAGCGACUUCAUUCCACUUGGGUAAUCAGGUGAAGGAGCGCCCCGCGAUCGUCCAUGGGUCAGCUAUGUGGACUCUAGCUGCCAAAGGCGCUUCUCCUUCUGAACCGAGCGCUUUGCUCAGCCAGUGUAGACAUGGCCUGAUAAACAUUGGAGCUUCCUGCCUUGAGAACUGGAGUAGUGGCUUGGCCUAAUCCUUGAACUGAGAAUCGGGCACAGGUUUGAUGAAUGGUUGAGAUGACGACAUCUCUAGUAAAGCGGAUCCUAAAUUGGCGAUAAUGGGAUGAGUAGCGUCAUUUAUAAUGAGCUUCAAAGGGUUAGCACUGAGUGCAGCAAAAGCCAAUCAAGGGGUGAUCAAAUCAAAGGUUUCGCGUGAGCUUAACUAUGUGUGGCAGGGAGAUUCUUGCAGGCUUAUGUCUGUCAGGUCUUAGCACUAAACCUGUCAGAGCGUUGCCUGGCCAUGUCAUUUUUUUUAACCAAGAUGUCACCUUCCUCAGGAGAAGCAACCUGCCUUGUGCUCUCCUCCCUCUGUUUUGUUGGGGAGCGCAAAUGAAGUGGGGCGCGGGACAGGGGGCGCCUUUGCGAAUCCCGCACUUUGAUUUUGCAGACUCGCAGGCUGGCAGAGUCAAGGGAGGAUGUGGCUUAUGAACAGCAGCCCUGCACCCUGCCCAGGCUGCCUCCAGGGAGCGGGGGAGCAUUUCCAGACCUGUCCAGAGAAGUCUGCCCAGGGUCAUUGAGAUACCCCUGAGAUUUCAAUCGGGUGCGUGAAGGACGCUGGAAACAUGAAUCACUGUCUGUGUUUUUCUUUUCAUGCACAUAAGGCCACCAAGAGAAGGGGGGUAAGGGGAACUUCAGCCUUAAAACACAACCCCUGUCUCCUAGAAUUUGACACACUCCAAACCAGGCCUUCCCAGACCCUCUGUAGCUCACCAAGCUUCCAAGUUUUAAAUAUUAAAACCAUGAGGCUAGUUUUUCACAUAUUGAAAACAACUCGAUUUGGGAGCUGUGUUUAAAAAAAAACAAACAAACAAACCUGAGACUUGUACUUUGACUUUUUGCUCAUUUAUCUAUUUCCUCAGGAAAAAAGAAAGUGUUACUGGUGGUAUGAAUUAACUGUGAGAAUCCUAAGAAAAAUAUUACCUUCCAAUUCUCUUCAAAAUAGAUGCUCACAUUAUCUUUAAAUGGUGGCUAAGUGGUUCAGCGAAAAGCAUGCAGCGUUAACAGCUUCAGAAAAUAUAAACCCUGUCUCUUUAGAAGUGCAAGUUGUGCUGAAGAGCCCAUACGCUUAAUUCGUUGAGCAACCACACAGUCUUUGCCGCUGUAUUUCGUUAGAAAGGAAGGAGAGGCUUGUUUCUACAGGGUGUCACAGAAAAAUCGAUGCUGAGCCACAGAUUAUUGGAUCCCACAGAACCGUGGAGACUCGGCAGUGAAAUUCUUCCAAAGGUGAGUAGGGACAUUGAUUUUCUUUCUUGUGCCGGAGGAAAUAUGGCCCAAGGAACAGAGACUAAUUUUAGAUUGGAAACAAGUAUGACAUGACCCCUUUACUUCCAAAAAAAAUUUAAAAAAUGCAGUAACUUUGCCAAACAAAUAAGUGUGGAAAUUCAAUAAGCAUAGAAGUUGGUCUCAUUCAGUGUUUUUAGAUUUUUUUUUUUAUAAAAAAAAGAAUCUUUGGUACAUUUUAUUUAAAAAGUAUCUUUGUUUGAACUUUUAUCUGUAGCUUAGAUUCAGCUAAAAGUAUUUUGGUGAAAUGUUUUUAUCAUGUAAUAUGAAAGUCUCCUUCUUAAAUUCCUGACGUGAGUGUAACAUCCUGUCCGUUUCUAAGGAAAGCAAACCCGUUAUUUAUACCAGCUCAGUUAAGACAGGAGCCCAUCACCAACCUUCAUCCUCAAACUCUAUAUCCCGUCGAAUCUGUACCACGGCUUCUACGCUCACGCUCGCUUGUUGGCGUGUUUACGGGACAGCCUCUUCUGGAUCUCUGAGUUGAAAGAAAAAGGAACAAAACAAAACAAAACAAAAAAAACCCAAAGCAAAGCUGUUCCUCACACCUUGAUUGUUUCCCUGUAUCACUUAGCAUUCCAUCUGCGAAGGCAGAGGUGUCCCUGGUUUGGGAAGUAUAAAUCCCGCGGGAAGUCAGCUGGGGAACAUUUUACGCAUCGCUCAUUCUGUUACGAGCCUGCUGCUCUUCCAUCUUCCGACAAGGCCAACUAGACAGUGUCCUGACUCUGGCUGUGCCUGACAUCCCUGCUCUGUGCAAGACAACCGAUGUGAAGAGCCCAGAAUUAUACAUAAAAUAACUGGAAGUGAAACUCUUUGGAUUUCCCGUUCAAUGUGCUUCUAUUGUAUUCCGCUUGGCAGCUAAAGGACAGAAGCCACAAUAAGGCUGCCUGGCUACAUUUUCACAGUGCCACCAACUGCGAGUUAAGCUGACGAACCUUUCGAGAGCUCGGCCCAUUUCAUUCACAGCAGGAUGGCAGGAAUUACCAAGUGGAAUAAACUAAAAAUCAUGCUUUUAUUGCACGUUUGCAUUGAAUCUCAGGACUGAGAAAUGAUGAAAUUCUGCUCAGCAAGGUUAUGCUUCGCAUCACCCACCAGGGAGGAUCAUCUCUCAUGAAAACUUUCAAAUUUGAUUUUGAAAAUUUAUUCAGAAAAAUUUAAGCCACGCUCUUUUUUUCCCCAACACAAGAAAUAAUAUGCUCUGGAGAACCCGCUAAUUCACAGAAAAUGGACUGGGAUAACAUUCGGGUUCUCAUCCUACCACAGUCCCCUUGAGAAGGACGGCCAGGAGGCUAAUAAUGAAGGGGCCAGGGAAGGAGGCCAAUACUACAAGGGUUAUCUCACCACCUCAGAUGCUGGAUAAGUUGGAGGAGGCAGACUCGCUUCUGGAUGACAUUCAGAAAGACUGGAGCGAUUAUUUGGAAGAGAAACCCCUGCCUCUGUUUUCAAAGGUACGUGAAUAUUGUCGAGACCUGCUUGUCGAAAGGUCCCGUCCUUAGAAUCCUGCCUUAGACAAAGGACGCACUCGGAGCCUCACCACACCUAAAAGCACGUUUUGAAGGAUCUGCCAAGCUCACUUUUAAUCAUGUGAAAGAAAUUACCCACACGGAGGCUGCAGAAAAUGAGAAAGUAGAGUUCGUGCCGUGAUUAAUUCCAGCGAGUGCCAAGGGGCUAGUUGAGGAAUGGCGUCAUGAGAUGUUAGUCUGUCUAGAACAACACCUGAGGAUCUAAGCCGGACGUUUGAGAAAGAAACGACUUCAAGUAAAGACUCCUUUCCCUAUGGUUUAAUUCCUUACUUUUUACCUGGACUGUAUAAGAUGCACUGUCAAACUAUGCUCAGCCUUUCUGCUCUCUGAGGAUUUUUUUGUUUGUUUGUUUGAACUGCUUAGAACUGACUAUUGAACUGCAUAUUAA